UUUUUUUUUUUUUUUUUUUGGUUUAUGCCCCUUCUAAGCCAAAUGUAUUAUUUCUCUUUAAAAAGGUACGAACAAUUCUUGCUCUAUAACUUAUUAUCUGAACAAAAAGUUGCUGAAAUGCUAGAAUAAAUCUAUAAAUCAAAGUUUUAUUUGGUUUAGCCUUUCAAUCACACACACACACACACACACACAAUAGGAGAGCCAUAUUAAGAUUUAAUAUAAAAGAACUGUGUGCAUCCCUUAAAUUUUUAGGCAACAUCACUGCGACCCCAAUGCCUGUGAGUGGUGGGUUAAUUACUCAGCAUAAAUGUUAAGAAAUUUACUAGGGACAAGAACAUUACAUGUAAGGAAUAAUUAUUGCAUUUAUUGCAUUUAUUGAAUUUAUUUAGUCCUAUUGUUGUUCCAGGGAUUAGAAACGGUGAUACAAGAUGAAACUCAGUGAUAAUAUUGUGGUUAAGAAAUAGUUAUAGUAAAAAUUAAGCAGAUUCUAGUACACUAAUGAAUGUACCAAAAGAAGUGGUGAAUAGACAAACAUACAAACACACACACACAGAAAAGAGGAAGGUAAUUAGGUAAGUAUUAGGGAAAUAUAUUAAAUGAAUAGAUUAAAAUAACAAAAAUGAUAUAAAGUUCUAACCAUAGAUUUGAGAUGCCAAAGUUUCUUCCCGUUUAUCAAAGACUGAAAAUUCAAAAACUGCACGUGGGCUUAGCAGAAAAACCACAGUUAGUGAUGUCUUCCAUGAAACUUGGAUGGGAGGGCAGUGCUGUUUUUUUCCCAGUAUUUCCCAUUCCUUAAACCGCACAGUCAAUGACAGAGAAGCCAGAGCAUCCCACUAUUUUCUAAUCUUACUCAAAUAUAUUUAUUUGGAGCUCAAUGGAGUGUAACAAAAGUAAACCAGUUCUUUACUAAUUAGACACCUUGUUAACUGCCAUAACCUUCAUUUUAUUCAUGUGAAAAAUGAAAACUAUCAUAUUUACCUUGUCUUUUGUGAGAAUUAUAGAUUGAGUAUUUAAGGUUGCUCACACAAUGCCUGGAAUGUAGGACACAUGAACAUUUCACCAAUAUAUUCAUGCAUGCAUAUUUAAAAUUAUUAGUAGUAAAUUAAAAAUAUAUUUCUAAAAUAUAAAUCAUAAUUAUUUAAACAAUGUCUUCCCUCAUUCUCUUUUUCUUUCCAGUGAGAUGACUUGGGAGAGCAAUGAAGAAAAAUAAAAAUAAAGGAAACAGACAAACAUAAAUAUGUAAAUAUGAGAUAUAUAGAUCCUUCAGGCUCAAGGAUUAGAUUAGUGCCCCAGCAUACCUGGGGAGAGAAGACUAAUGAAUGAGCUGGAAGCUUGUCACUUGAAGGACACUCUAAGGACAAAACAGCCCAGCAAUCAUCCUACUGCACAAUGCCCUGGACCACAGAGGUCUGCACAUUUGUCCUGUCAAGAAGUACAGCCAAAUGUCUGCUGGAGAUCUUUUCCCUCUUACUUCCUUCUGCAGUUUUUAAUUUUUUUAUUUUUUUUAAUUUUAUGAUAGUCACACAGAGAGAGAGAGAGACAGAAGGAGAGGCAGAGACAUAGGCAGAAGGGAGAAGCAGGCAUAGGGAGAAGCAGGCUCCAUGCACCGGGAGCCCGACGUGGGAUUCGAUCCUGCGUCUCCAGGAUCGCACCCUGGGCCAAAGGCAGGCGCCAAACCGCUGCGCCACCCAGGGAUCCCUCCUUCUGCAGUUCUAAUCAUCUCAGGAGAAUGCAUGCAGCUCUUUUAACCCAAUAGACAGAAGAGGCACAGGGUCAUUUGCUUCUGCUCCAUGCUUGUAGUUCACUACAGCCCACUAAGAACAAUCAUAUCCCCCUUCUGAUUGCACAUUCAUUGAGAUCCAGUGAAAACAUAUAUGUAGGCAUGUAUACAUAUACCUGUACACACAGGCAUGUGUAUGUAUGUAUCUACUAUACCAUGUAUAUAAACACCUGUGUAUAUGCAUCUAGUACCAUACCACGUA
rnacentral:lncRNA from 1 species